CUCACCAGAUAAGACAGCUGAAUGAUAGUCGGGCUGAAGACUCUACUUGACUAGCUGAGAGGAGGUGCAUGGCCGUCGUCAGUUCGUACUGUGAAGCAUCCUGUUAAGUCAGGCAACGAGCGAGACCCACGCCAACAGUUGCCAGCAUGUCCUCCGGGAUGAUGGGGACACUGUUGGGAACCGCCUCUGCUAAAGAGGAGGAAGGAAUGGGCAACGGUAGGUCAGCAUGCCCCGAAUUAUCCGGGCUACACGCGGGCUACAAUGGUCAGGACAAUGGGUAUCGACACCGAGAGGUGGAGGCAAUCUCCUAAACCUGUCCUUAGUUCGGAUUGUGGGCUGCAACUCGCCCACAUGAAGCUGGAAUCCGUAGUAAUCGCGUUUCAAAAUAGCGCGGUGAACUAUCCGUCCUGCUCCUU
rnacentral:rRNA from 1 species